UACAGAGGGUGCGAGCGUUGUCCGGAAUCACUGGGCGUAAAGGGCGCGUAGGUGGCUCUAUAAGUCGGGGGUGAAAUGCUGCGGCUCAACCGCAGCGCUGCCUCCGAGACUGUAGGGCUCGAGCACGGUAGAGGCCGAUGGAAUUCCCGGUGUAGCGGUGGAAUGCGUAGAGAUCGGGAAGAACACCAAUGGCGAAGGCAGUCGGCUGGGCCGUUGCUGACACUGAGGCGCGACAGCGUGAGGAGCAAACAGG
rnacentral:rRNA from 1 species